UUGUAGUGAGACGCACAUAGCGAGAUAACACACACAACACGAAUAAGAAAGUUUUUUCGUUAAUUAUAGUUUUUUAAUACUUAUUUUGAAAAUUAAGAUAAAGAGCCAAAAGAAAAAAAAAGAAAAAAGAUGUGGAUAUGCACAGGCAGAUGUUAAUUCUGCUUUGGAAGCAGUAAAAAAUGAUAUGUCGUUGGAAAUUGCUAGCACAACAUUUGGUAUACCUAAAAGCACUUUACACAAAAAAUAAGGAAAAAAUCCCGAUUGAAGCUAAAAUGGGUUCAUCAACGUAUUUAAGGAAAGAUGAAGAAAACAGAUUAGUUGAAUGGAUUUUUUUUCUUGGCGAACGUGGAUUUCCGGUAACAAAAAAUCAACUAUUAGACAGUGCUCAAUAACUUAUUAUUAAAUUGGAAAGAAUAACACCUUUUACUAAUAAUGGAUCAAGUAGAUAGAUUGGUACGAAGGAUUUCUUCGUCGUCAUCCUGAGUUAGCAAUAAGAAUCGCUCAAAAUUUAACACAUACUCGUGCUUCAGUAACAGAAAAAGAAAUACGUAACUGGUUCAAUGAAGUCUUUCUACACUUGAUUAAAUUAAAUUUACUGGAAAUGCAUUUUUCUAGAGUGUAUAAUUGUGAUAAAAGUUUAUUUCUUUUGUGUCCAAAACCAGACUAAAUCAUUACUAGAAGAGAAUCUAAAUCUGUAUAUAAAAUAGUCAAUGCAGAGAAAAAGAAAGCCUUACUAUGUUAUUCAUAGUAAAUGCAGCAGAAUCUAUGGUUUCACCAAUGAUAAUGUAUUAGUAUAAACGAGUGCCGUACUCAGUAUCUAGUGAAUUUCCAAAAAGCUGGCACAUAGGUUUAUUUGAGAAAGGGUGGAUGACUGCAGAAUCAUUUUAUCAAGCGACGCGGUAGCAUCGCGACGCCAAGUACAUAAAAAACAAGUCCAAGUAUUGUGUUCCAAGCAUUGAGUUGAGAGUCAUUGCUCUCGAUGCGGCGCUACCAAGUACUGCGCGACAACGAUUCGUUCCGUGGCCCCUCUCGGGGCAAGGAGAACGUAGACAUAUAUCAUAGCGCCAUCAGCCGGCAGCGGCCAACUAAUCCUGAUUUAUCGAUCUAAUUACCGAUCGCUACAAAAUAAUACUCUGGGUCGAUAAUGGACAGAGUCGGUAAUACACACGCGCGAUUUAAUUAUACAAAAAUAAAUCAUUAAUAUAGCAGGAAAGGAAUGAAUGAUACGUUAAAAUACAAUGUUUUUUAAAAAUUUUUAAAUGAAAUUUCCGCACGAAUGUUCCAACGUAAAAUAAAUUAUGGCUCCGAAAAGAAUCGUUUUAAUCAAUGGUUUAGAAAAAAAAUUAUUUAAUAAAUUCAGUCUACCAUUCUAUUCUAGCAUUCAGUCUACUACGAACAACCCAAAUAGCACAAGACGUCCUCAGGAUAAUCCUGAAUAUGUCCAGGAUGUCCUGGAAUAUUUCUAGGAUUAUCCUGAAUAUGUCCAGGAUGUCCUGGGAUAUUUUGAGGAUAUUUAUAACUUUAUAUGUAUAUCUGACUUCAUUAAUUUAUGAUGAAAGACUUGGAGUAAUUUCAGAAAGUUUUAAGAAUUACAAUAAAGUAUAUAAAUCUUUCAUUUAAUGUCCACUAGACUCAAAAAUAGCUAAGAAUCCUAAAAUCAUCCUAUAUAUAUCCAUGUCUUAAGGCAUAUCCCAGGAUGUUUUGAGUACGCCCCCCAGAACUUUUUCAUACAUGGGCAUAUCGAAAAUGUACCCAGGAUGUCUUGAGGAGUUUUGUAGGACGUACUUAGAACAUCCUGGGAUUAUGCAUCUUAAGAGAUAGAUAUGUAUAGGAUGAUUUUAGGACUUAGUUAUUUUUGAGUUUAAUAGACAUUAAUGAUUUUGGGAUAUUGUUAAUAUAUAAUGAAAACGCAGCGUUAAAAAAUGUUAAGUGUGUAAGUGCCUAUAAACAAAUACAAUCAAAGUGUAUCGCGGUAAGUAAACUGAUAUUAAAAUAUAACGAGAAAAUUUAUAUUUAUUAUAUGAUCAAUAUUUGACUUUUCAAAUUACGCGGUACGAUAUAUAAUAAUAGCGCCACCGUUACAAGUACGAUAUAAAAUGACAGGAUUUCCGAUUCCGGUCUCUUCUUACAUGGUUACCGGGAAAAGAACAACCAGCAACCAGAGUGUACAACGAAUAUUGCUUUAAUUUCAGUAUUAUUGUGUACAUUCUGUUGGCAGAACAGUGCAAAGUAUAGUAUAGUGCAAUUCUAAUAAUAAAACAAAAAGUAUAGUACAAUUCUAAUAAUAGUAAAAGAAAGGAGGCUUCAUCUAUUAUUAGAUAUGUAAAUAAAGAAAAACUUAAAUUUAUUAAAGUUAAGUCUAUGGCA
rnacentral:lncRNA from 1 species